CAGAGAGUCAUCACACACUGACAAGAUGCUGCCAGCACUCUGCUCUCUCUUCACUGCUCUCUCAUGUAAGAUCUCACAACACUGGAGCUCCUCAGCAUUCGCCUACAUCUAAUCUCAUUUCUCACCUGGAGCAGAAAAGCUGAGUUAUAGCUGCAGUUCUCUUGAGCAGGACGUGUGAAGAAAUCACAGGAUAACAGAUAUGUGGAAUUCCCAGAGACUGGAAUGGGAUGUGGAAGGACUCAGUGCUGGUUAUUACUUUCCUCUCACAUCUCCUGCUCUCAGCCUCCUUCCUCCAUGCCCAGAGGAGCUGCAGCAGGGCAAAGCCACCCUGCUGUGUUUGGCUGAGGAGUUGACUGUGCCUCUGGUGCAAGUCAGCUGGGCAAUGAAUGGGACUUCAGUAACGGAUGGAAUCGGCACCAGCCCUCCAGUCCAGCAGCCGGACAAAACCUUGAGAAUGAGCAGCUCUGUGACCGUUAGUGCGUCCAUUGAAACAGCAAUGUGGAUUUCCUGUGCGAAGUGUCAGUUGGUUCAAAAGCCUCAAAGUGUUUCUGAUUGUUAUCUACUUUACCUAUGAGCUCAGUAUUGUUUACAUAUCUAGUUGUCCUUUGAAUAGCACUCCUUUACCAUUGAAUUACUGCUUAAACAUAAUGCCUGAAAAUCAAUGAGUUGGUUUGUUUUGUUUCUGCAAUAAAAAGCUUGGGCAUCUGA